CGUGCCUAAUACAUGCAAGUAGAACGCUGAAGAGAGGAGCUUGCUCUUCUUGGAUGAGUUGCGAACGGGUGAGUAACGCGUAGGUAACCUGCCUUGUAGCGGGGGAUAACUAUUGGAAACGAUAGCUAAUACCGCAUAACAAUGGAUGACACAUGUCAUUUAUUUGAAAGGGGCAAAUGCUCCACUACAAGAUGGACCUGCGUUGUAUUAGCUAGUAGGUGAGGUAACGGCUCACCUAGGCGACGAUACAUAGCCGACCUGAGAGGGUGAUCGGCCACACUGGGACUGAGACACGGCCCAGACUCCUACGGGAGGCAGCAGUAGGGAAUCUUCGGCAAUGGGGGCAACCCUGACCGAGCAACGCCGCGUGAGUGAAGAAGGUUUUCGGAUCGUAAAGCUCUGUUGUAAGUCAAGAACGAGUGUGAGAGUGGAAAGUUCACACUGUGACGGUAGCUUACCAGAAAGGGACGGCUAACUACGUGCCAGCAGCCGCGGUAAUACGUAGGUCCCGAGCGUUGUCCGGAUUUAUUGGGCGUAAAGCGAGCGCAGGCGGUUUGAUAAGUCUGAAGUUAAAGGCUGUGGCUCAACCAUAGUUCGCUUUGGAAACUGUCAAACUUGAGUGCAGAAGGGGAGAGUGGAAUUCCAUGUGUAGCGGUGAAAUGCGUAGAUAUAUGGAGGAACACCGGUGGCGAAAGCGGCUCUCUGGUCUGUAACUGACGCUGAGGCUCGAAAGCGUGGGGAGCGAACAGGAUUAGAUACCCUGGUAGUCCACGCCGUAAACGAUGAGUGCUAGGUGUUGGAUCCUUUCCGGGAUUCAGUGCCGCAGCUAACGCAUUAAGCACUCCGCCUGGGGAGUACGACCGCAAGGUUGAAACUCAAAGGAAUUGACGGGGGCCCGCACAAGCGGUGGAGCAUGUGGUUUAAUUCGAAGCAACGCGAAGAACCUUACCAGGUCUUGACAUCCCGAUGCUAUUUCUAGAGAUAGAAAGUUACUUCGGUACAUCGGUGACAGGUGGUGCGUGGUUGUCGUCAGCUCGUGUCGUGAGAUGUUGGGUUAAGUCCCGCAACGAGCGCAACCCCUAUUGUUAGUUGCCAUCAUUCAGUUGGGCACUCUAGCGAGACUGCCGGUAAUAAACCGGAGGAAGGUGGGGAUGACGUCAAAUCAUCAUGCCCCUUAUGACCUGGGCUACACACGUGCUACAAUGGUUGGUACAACGAGUUGCGAGUCGGUGACGGCAAGCUAAUCUCUUAAAGCCAAUCUCAGUUCGGAUUGUAGGCUGCAACUCGCCUACAUGAAGUCGGAAUCGCUAGUAAUCGCGGAUCAGCACGCCGCGGUGAAUACGUUCCCGGGCCUUGUACACACCGCCCGUCACACCACGAGAGUUUGUAACACCCGAAGUCGGUGAGGUAACCUUUUGGAGCCAGCCGCCUAAGGUGGGAUAGAUGAUUGGGGUGAAGUC
rnacentral:rRNA from 1 species